GUGCCAGCCGCCGCGGUAAUACGUAGGUGGCAAGCGUUGUCCGGAAUUAUUGGGCGUAAAGGGCUCGCAGGCGGUUCCUUAAGUCUGAUGUGAAAGCCCCCGGCUCAACCGGGGAGGGUCAUUGGAAACUGGGAAACUUGAGUACAGAAGAGGAAAGUGGAAUUCCAUGUGUAGCGGUGAAAUGCGCAGAGAUAUGGAGGAACACCAGUGGCGAAGGCGACUUUCUGGUCUGUGACUGACGCUGAUGUGCGAAAGCGUGGGGAUCAAACAGGAUUAGAUACCCCGGUAGUCC
rnacentral:rRNA from 1 species